GGUGGAGCCCGUGCCGGUCUCCAUCCUUCCCACCCGGUACCUCAUACGGCCGGAGUGG
rnacentral:ncRNA from 1 species